GACGAACGCUGGCGGCGUGCUUAACACAUGCAAGUCGAACGGAAAGGCCCUGCUUUUGUGGGGUGCUCGAGUGGCGAACGGGUGAGUAACACGUGAGUAACCUGCCCUUGACUUUGGGAUAACUUCAGGAAACUGGGGCUAAUACCGGAUAGGAGCUCCUGCUGCAUGGUGGGGGUUGGAAAGUUUCGGCGGUUGGGGAUGGACUCGCGGCUUAUCAGCUUGUUGGUGGGGUAGUGGCUUACCAAGGCUUUGACGGGUAGCCGGCCUGAGAGGGUGACCGGCCAAACUGGGACUGAGAGUAGGCCGCAUGUCCUUCCGCAGCCAGGAGUGGGGGCUAGUCCGAAAUGGGCGGUAACCACAAGCACCAACGCCGCGUUCGGGGUGACGGACUUCGGGGUGAAAGCCGCUUUUGCCUGUGACGGAGCGUCACUGACGGUAAUGGGUAAAGCUACACCGGCUAACGAAGUG
rnacentral:rRNA from 1 species